CCUACGGGGGGCAGCAGUGGGGAAUAUUGGACAAUGGGGGGAACCCUGAUCCAGCGACGCCGCGUGAGUGAAGAAGUAUUUCGGUAUGUAAAGCUCUAUCGGCAGGGAAGAAAGAAAUGACGGUACCUGACUAAGAAGCCCCGGCUAACUACGUGCCAGCAGCCGCGGUAAUACGUAGGGGGCAAGCGUUAUCCGGAUUUACUGGGUGUAAAGGGAGCGUAGACGGCGAUGCAAGUCUGAAGUGAAAGGCGGGGGCCCAACCCCCGGACUGCUUUGGAAACUGUAUGGCUGGAGUGCAGGGGAGGUAAGUGGAAUGCCUAGUGUAGCGGUGAAAUGCGUAGAUAUUAGGAGGAACACCAGUGGCGAAGGCGGCUUACUGGACUGUAACUGACGUUGAGGCUCGAAAGCGUGGGGAGCAAACAGGAUUAGAUACCCGUGUAGUC
rnacentral:rRNA from 1 species